rnacentral:rRNA from 1 species
GAUGAACGCUGGCGGCGUGCCUAACACAUGCAAGUCGAGCGUUCUCUUCGGAGAAGAGCGGCGGACGGGUGAGUAACGCGUGGGUAACCUGCCCUGUACACACGGAUAACAUACCGAAAGGUAUGCUAAUACGGGAUAAUGUAUUUUAGUCGCAUGGCUAAAAUAUCAAAGCUCCGGCAGUACAGGAUGGACCCGCGUCUGAUUAGCUAGUUGGUAAGGUAACGGCUUACCAAGGCGACGAUCAGUAGCCGACCUGAGAGGGUGAUCGGCCACACUGGAACUGAGACACGGUCCAGACUCCUACGGGAGGCAGCAGUGGGGAAUAUUGCACAAUGGGCGAAAGCCUGAUGCAGCAACGCCGCGUGAGCGAUGAAGGCCUUCGGGUCGUAAAGCUCUGUCCUCAAGGAAGAUAAUGACGGUACUUGAGGAGGAAGCCCCGGCUAACUACGUGCCAGCCGCCGCGGUAACAC